rnacentral:rRNA from 1 species
GACGAACGCUGGCGGCGUGCUUAACACAUGCAAGUCGAACGAAGAGCGACGGAAGCUUGCUUCUAUCAAUCUUAGUGGCGAACGGGUGAGUAACGCGUAAUCAACCUGCCCUUCAGAGGGGGACAACAGUUGGAAACGACUGCUAAUACCGCAUACGAUCUAAUCUCGGCAUCGAGGAUGGAUGAAAGGUGGCCUCUACAUGUAAGCUAUCACUGAAGGAGGGGAUUGCGUCUGAUUAGCUAGUUGGAGGGGUAACGGCCCACCAAGGCGAUGAUCAGUAGCCGGUCUGAGAGGAUGAACGGCCACAUUGGGACUGAGACACGGCCCAGACUCCUACGGGAGGCAGCAGUGGGGAAUCUUCCGCAAUGGACGAAAGUCUGACGGAGCAACGCCGCGUGAGUGAUGACGGCCUUCGGGUCGUAAAGCUCUGUUAAUCGGGACGAAAGGCCUUCUUGCGAAUAGUGAGAAGGAUUGACGGUACCGGAAGAGAAAGCCACGGCUAACUACGUG